rnacentral:rRNA from 1 species
AAAGGAAUUGACGGGGGCCCGCACAAGCGGUGGAGCAUGUGGUUCAAUUCGACGCAACGCGAAGAACCUUACCAGCCCUUGACAUGUCUAGGACCGGUCGCAGAGACGCGACCUUCUCUUCGGAGCCUGGAACACAGGUGCUGCAUGGCUGUCGUCAGCUCGUGUCGUGAGAUGUUGGGUUAAGUCCCGCAACGAGCGCAACCCUCGUCCUUAGUUGCCAUCAUUCAGUUGGGCACUCUAAGGAGACUGCCGGUGAUAAGCCGCGAGGAAGGUGGGGAUGACGUCAAGUCCUCAUGGCCCUUACGGGCUGGGCUACACACGUGCUACAAUGGCGGUGACAAUGGGCAGCGAACCCGCAAGGGGGAGCUAAUCUCUAAAAACCGUCUCAGUUCGGAUUGCACUCUGCAACUCGAGUGCAUGAAGUUGGAAUCGCUAGUAAUCGUGGAUCAGCAUGCCACGGUGAAUACGUUCCCGGGCCUUGUACACACCGCCCGU